AGCGGAUUAGCAUAAAGGUAAUGCAUCGGACUUUGACUCCGAUGAAAGUGGGUCAGUACCACUAUCCGCUG
rnacentral:tRNA from 1 species